rnacentral:rRNA from 1 species
CAGAGGGUGCAAACGUUGUUCGGAAUUACUGGGCGUAAAGCGUGUGUAGGCGGCCAUGUAAGUCGGAUGUGAAAGCCCCAGGCUCAACCUGGGAGGUGCACUCGAUACUGCGUGGCUUGAGUAUCGGAGAGGUUGGUGGAAUUCUCGGUGUAGAGGUGAAAUUCGUAGAUAUCGAGAGGAACACCGGUGGCGAAGGCGGCCAACUGGACGAAUACUGACGCUGAGACACGAAAGCGUGGGGAGCAAACAGGAUUAGAUACCCUGGUAGUCCACGCCGUAAACGAUGGGUGCUAGGUGUCACGGGCUUUGACUCCUGUGGUGCCGUAGCAAACGCAUUAAGCACCCCGCCUGGGAAGUACGGCCGCAAGGCUA